GUAGAGAUCCUGAUCCAAAAUGUCCUGAAGAUCAAGAAAAAUUGAGCCAAAAUGAUGUUUUCCCUGAUGCUUUUACGAAACGUGAGUUGAAAAGUAUUCGUUUACAUUGUCCUUCUGAACAAUGCAAAUGUUUUGGCUCCUACGAAGAAUUGGAAGUGAGUUGAGUUGA